GAGGACACAUUUUUUGUUCAUUUUUUCCUCUCUUUCAAAAUACACAUAUAUUUAUUUUUUACAACUCAUAAAUAUUUUUCCUUUGCCAACCCACACACAUAUUCAUAAAUACACAAGCAUAUUUUAUUUAUUCUAUUUUUCUCUUUUUCUCUUCAAAACACUCCAACGGAUAUAUACACGACACUAUAUAUCAGGGAUCCAAUUCUGAUAUUAAGGGGACUUGAAUGGAGAGGAUCCGGGGAUCAGAUCUUCAUUUUUAAAAAAAACACAUACAACAGAGACAUAGACGGGCUCUCUCUCUCUUAAAAAAAAAGAAAACUGAUCUUGCUCUCUGUCCCUCUCCCUUACCUACUCUCUUUCUCCUUUCCUCUCAGAAGCAACAACCACCUCUUCAUCGCCGUUGCCACACGGACCUCCACCACCACGCGCCACCAUCACUGUUCUACCGCUACCGUAGCUAACCAAAGGAUGGUCGGUGUUUCUAAAACAUUUUCGUCAGUCUCCUCACAUCUUCCUUGAGUUCCUUUUCUUGUUUUGAAAAAUUUUGCUUCACCAUUGAUACUCAGAUCUGGCUGUUCUUCGCGAUUCCGGCAUUGCUCCGUUGAACACCGUCGAAGCGACGCCACUAACAAUGUUUUAUGCCUCCGAAUCCAUGAUUUACUUACUUUUCAUGUUCUUUUUCAAAGGAGAACAGAUUUGUGCAUUUCUUAUACUCCCACGAUAUUUGAUUCGUUUGGGAUUGUUUCUCAAUAUAUUUUUUGGUGACCUUGAGCUUUCUAACAAGAAUUUGGUCAAGAUUACUGUUUGUGGACUCUAUUAAUGAUUCCUUUUUGUGAUUGUAGCUCUUUUAGUGCUGCUUUUGAUAUUUGGUGUGAUUCUUGUUCUCAUAAGUUUGAUAACUUUUGGCAAUUUUGUGUGGUCCUACAUUACUAAUGAUUU
rnacentral:lncRNA from 1 species